rnacentral:rRNA from 1 species
GAUGAACGCUGGCGGCGUGCCUAACACAUGCAAGUCGAGCGAACAGACGAGGAGCUUGCUCCUCUGACGUUAGCGGCGGACGGGUGAGUAACACGUGGAUAACCUACCUAUAAGACUGGGAUAACCUCGGGAAUCCGGAGCUAAUACCGGAUAAUAUAUUGAACCGCAUGGUUCAAUAGCGAAAGACGGUUUUGCUGUCACUUAUAGAUGGAUCCGCGCCGCAUUAGCUAGUUGGUAAGGUAACGGCUUACCAAGGCAACGAUGCGUAGCCGACCUGAGAGGGUGGGCGGCCACACUGGAACUGAAACGCGGUCCAGACUCCUACGGGAGGCAGCAGUAGGGAAUCUUCCGCAAUGGGCGAAAGCCUGACGGAGCAACGCCGCGUGAGUGAUGAAGGUCUUCGGAUCGGAAAACUCUGUUAUUAGGGAAGAACAAAUGUGUAAGUAACUAUGCACGUCUUGACGGUACCUAAUCAGAAAGCCACGGCUAACUACGUG